CCUUUGUGUGCUGGAGCCGAAAGGAAAGCUGGCGGCGGCGGUUGCUGCUUUUGUCCCUUUCAGUGGCUGGAAGUUCCGGGGGCGAACUCCGAUGCAGGCCUUCCCGGGGGCCAUGCCUCCAAAGCACCUUCCUGGAUAAUAGCUCAAGAUAACCCAGCAAAGAAGACUGUAUUGGUAUUUCUGAAUAAACAAAAUAAACAAGAUGUCCUCUC